CGGCGAAAAUACGCAACUUAUUUGGUAAGGCCACUGAGGUUACUGUUAUCCAGGUAUAGUAUUGUGAGGGACCCAGAGGCGGGCUCGCUGAAAAAUGUCACUCCACACCCAAUCAUAAGUUAACGGGGUUGACAAUUUCAUGACCAACAUCGAGUGAGUGUGUCUUUCUUCCAGCCGAUCUGAAACGCUCCUUCUCUGCCAUCCCUGAAAGAAUAAUAAACAUGUUGCAGUUUGGGCCAUCCGAAAGCUCAAACAUCAUGCAUGUGCUUGGUGGGGUUGAUGUGAAUUAUGUGACCAGAAUCACGAUAGCAACUUCCCGAAGAAAAGGGAGAAAUGUGUUUAUUUUUUUAGUCAAAAGGGUGAGAGAGGACUGGGACAAAAGAAAAAGCAGUUGGUUCCAGAUUGUCAAAGCAUUCGAAGGUGAUUCAGACGUGCUUG
rnacentral:lncRNA from 1 species